rnacentral:rRNA from 1 species
AUACGGAGGGAGCGAGCGUUAAUCGGAAUUACUGGGCGUAAAGCGCGCGUAGGCGGCUUUGUAAGUCGGAUGUGAAAGCCCUGGGCUCAACCUGGGAAUUGCACUCGAUACUGCAGAGCUAGAGUAUGGUAGAGGGAAGUGGAAUUUCCGGUGUAGCGGUGAAAUGCGUAGAUAUCGGAAGGAACACCAGUGGCGAAGGCGACUUCCUGGGCCAAUACUGACGCUGAGGUGCGAAAGCGUGGGGAGCAAACAGGAUUAGAAACCCUAGUAGUCC